AACUAAGANUACUGUAGAAGGGGGGGUAGAAUUUUCCAGGGUGUAGCGGUGNNAUGCGUAGAGAUNCUGAAGGAAUACCGGUGGCGAAAGGCGGCCCCCCUGGACAGAUACUGACACUCAGAUGCGAAAGCGUGGGGAGCAAACAGGGAUUAGAUACCCUGGUAGUCCACGCCGUAAAACGAUGUCUACUUGGAGGUUGUGGCCUUGAGCCGUGGCUUUCGGAGCUAACGCGUUAAGUAGACCGCCUGGGGAGUACGGUCGCAAGAUUAAAACUCAAAUGAAUUGACGGGGGCCCGCACAAGCGGUGGAGCAUGUGGUUUAAUUCGAUGCAACGCGAAGAACCUUACCUACUCUUGACAUCUACAGAAGCCAGCGGAGUCGCAGGUGUGCCUUCGGGAACUGUAAGACAGGUGCUGCAUGGCUGUCGUCAGCUCGUGUUGUGAAAUGUUGGGUUAAGUCCCGCAACGAGCGCAACCCUUAUCCUUGUUUGCCAGCACUUCGGGUGGGAACUCCAGGGAGACUGCCGGUGAUAAACCGGAGGAAGGUGGGGACGACGUCAAGUCAUCAUGGCCCUUACGAGUAGGGCUACACACGUGCUACAAUGGCGCAUACAGAGGGCGGCCAACUUGCGAAAGUGAGCGAAUCCCAAAAAGUGCGUCGUAGUCCGGAUUGGAGUCUGCAACUCGACUCCAUGAAGUCGGAAUCGCUAGUAAUCGUGGAUCAGAAUGCCACGGUGAAUACGUUCCCGGGCCUUGUACACACCGCCCGUCACACCAUGGGAGUGGGCUGCAAAAGAAGUGGGUAGUUUAACCUUCGGGAGGACGCUCACCACUUUGUGGUUCAUGACUGGGGUGAAGUCGUAACAAGGUAACCG
rnacentral:rRNA from 1 species